UUCCCAGCAAGCUUAUAUCCUUUUGCCCAUUUUACAGAUGGCAGAAAAAGCCUCAAAUUAAAGAGCCUAUGGUCACACUGUUAGAAAGUUGCUGAGCCAGAAUUUAAAGCCAUUCUGACUUCACUACUCAAGCUCCUGACCUGGCACCACACUGCAAGGUUGUGAUGUAAGAAAAAGGAUAUUUAGGAAGAGAAAUCAAGACGACACAGCUCUGUAACAGCACAGACUCACAGCUAGUGAGCACCUUCCCACCUGCAGUGCUUGGCAGCGAUUUGGUGUCUGUGAGGACCUCCCACUCUGGAAGCCUUUCCCAGAUCCUCCAAACUGAACUUUCUGUCAUCGCUAUGUGAAACAUUGAAAUCUUGUUAAUUUCCAAAAGCAUCCUAUACUCAUGCAUUAGAAAUAGAAAGGAUGGACCCGGGAGAACUGACUCUGACAUAAGCGAGUUGUAUAAAUGUGGUGAGGUCACCUAACCUGUGUUUGCAACAGUUUCUCUUCACAGUGGGGAGGACCAUGCCCUGGCCUACAUCACCAUCCAGCCUGAGAUUUUAGUGAGGCGCUGGGCAUGGAAGCACUUUGCAAGGAGUUACACUAAUGUAGUGAAUGAUCAGUGUUUGAAUACUGCAGGGAUCCUCCCUUUCCUUCCGCCCCCCUUUGUGCCCUCUUUACAUUCCAUUCUACACUCUGCCCCCUCAGGCCCAAUCUGACUUUGCAUACACCUGACUUUCUGGAACUCAUUUUGUCAUAGGGGACCACCAGUUGCAUUCUGCUGGACACCAUGUGGCUCCUCAAUCUGUUGACAUGUGCCCUUCAAGCACACGGAGGCACUCAGCAUGGGCACUCAGCAGUCCAUGUGGGCUCUGCUCACACAGCAUCUGGUUUGGAAGUGCUGAAUUAGUGAAUUUAAUUCUCCUGUGCAUCUGAUGAAAUAACAGAAGUCCAGAAGAACUCCCCCAAGGUCUUCACCCAGAAGGGUGAAGGACUUCCCCAAGGUCUGUGGAGCAUCUGUUUACUACUCUGGAGCAGAAAGUCUUAUUUCCCAGUGUUUUCGAUGAAAGGAAUUCAGGGCAACAACAUCUGGUGCUGGUUUGAAUGGGGUAAGUUGGGUACAAGGGGACUGCAGGGGGAUGAGAAAUCCUGCAUGUCAAGAAUCGGCACAGGUAAUUUUCAGGCUGACUUGUUUCUCACUCACUGAGCCACACUGACUUGACAGCUGCUUCUCCGUACCCUGAAAUAUUUGAGCAGCCUGCAGUCAUGGUCCCGUGCUUGUCCCUGCCUGCUUUUGCCACUCGGAAAGGACUCAGGUCUUGCAGAGGCUACCCCUGAUUCCCAUAAUUAGAUGUGGACCCUGUGCAGGAAGACAGAGGGGUGGGUUAGAGGCCCUGAGAGGGAAGAAGGAAGGAGGUUGGUAUCUUCUUUUCCCUGAAAACAGUCCCCACAGUUUCUGAAUGUUAUUGAGAAGCUAUUGAUGUAGAAUUCAAGCUCAUUUCAGCACACAGUGGGUUUGCCAAGUUGGCCAAGGGACUUUGUGGUCAAUGAUUAUGACCUCAACUUUCCAUCACUGAAGUAUAUGUACAGGUCCUUCUAUUCUGAUGAAACAAUAGGAAGAAACUAAUUUUGGAGAGAAAGAAUAGAGAAGGGUGUGGGUGUGUCAGUGUGUGCACGUGCUCUUUUAUUAAUUGAUAAUACAUUAACCUUUUGUUUUAAUC